rnacentral:rRNA from 1 species
UACGGGGGGGGCAAGCGUUGUUCGGAAUUACUGGGCGUAAAGGGCUCGUAGGCGGCCAACUAAGUCAGACGUGAAAUCCCCAGGCUUAACCUGGGAACUGCGUCUGAUACUGGAUGGCUUGAAUCCGGGAGAGGGAUGCAGAAUUCCAGGUGUAGCGGUGAAAUGCGUAGAUAUUAGGAGGAACACCGGUGGCGAAGGCGGCCAACUGGACAGUAACUGACACUGAGGCGCGAAAGCGUGGGGAUCAAACAGG